rnacentral:rRNA from 1 species
GGAAUUGCUAGUAAUCGCGGAUCAGCAUGCCGCGGUGAAUACGUUCCCGGGCCUUGUACACACCGCCCGUCACACCAUGGGAGUUUGUAACACCCGAAGUCAGUGUCCCAACCGCAAGGAGGGAGCUGCCGAAGGUGGGAUAAGCGACUGGGGUGAAGUCGUAACAAGGUAUC